rnacentral:lncRNA from 1 species
AUUGCUUGAACCCAGGAGGCAGAGGUUGCAGUGAGCAAAGAUCAUGCCACUGACUCCAGCCUGUAUGACAGAGCUCAAAAAAAAAAAAUAAGAUAAAACAUAGAUACAGAAAACCACAAAGGAAAAACAUAGCAUAUUGAAUCAUCACGAUGCAGCCACCCCUUCAUAGCCACACCUGGCCCCUGGCCACCACUGACCUGUGCUCCAUCGCCAGAAUUCCGUUGUCUCAGGAAUGUUCGAUGAAUAGAAUCCUGUGUGGCCUGAGAUGAGUGUCUUUCAUGCCACGUGACACCCUUGAGGCCCGUGCAAGCUGUUGGUAUGUCAACAGUUAGCUGCUUCUCAUUGCUGAGUGGCGAUUGGUCCUGUCAUGCUUUAUUCAGCCAUGUGGUGGAUGGCUACUUGUCUUCUAAGCCACUUGUUUUCUGAUUGCUGGACUUACUGUCUCGCCCUCUCUUGGUGCAGCCCUCGGAAGGGUCGGUCACAUUCUCCGAGAGCACAGCCAUCAUCUCCCACGGUACCACAGGCCUGGUCACAUGGGACGCCGCCCUCUACCUUGCAGAACGGGCCAUCGAAAACCCGGUAGCCUUCACUAACAGACUUGCUGUAUUGCCCAGAAGCCAUCGUGUCACUGGUCGGGGUUCUGUGGAGGCUGGCUGCCUGCCAAGAGCACAAGCGGGCUCCUGAGGUCUACAUGGCCUUUACCGUCCGCAACCCAGAGACGUGCCAGCUGUUCACCACGGAGCUAGGCUGGGCUGGGAUCAGAUGGGAAGCGGAAGCUCAUCAUGACCAGAAACUGUUUCCCUACGGAGAGCACUUGGAGAUGGCAAUGCUGAACCUCACACUGUAGGACUCACACACGACUCCAACGGGAUUGUGAGAAUCAAGUCACUCUCGUGGGAAGAAUUUUUAUAUGAGAAAGGGGAUAAAACUUUCAUUGGACUGGAAUGUUUGGAGAAUGUUAAAUUCCAAAUCAGGAACCACAAACUGCCCUCUAAUAAGACAUCGGCUAUCUAAGCGUGUGGGUGCCCCCUUUCUGCCAGCAGUUCUGGUUCUUAAGAAAAUCACCAUAAAUCAGACAUGAAAAUUCUGGCUCCAAAAAUAGCAUUUUCUUUGUGCAAAUAAAAACGUGUGUAUCAACUAUGACGUUCCCCCACGUGGACACACUCGGUUCCUCAUAAAACCAAGCCUGCUGCAGCUGCCACAUCCCUGGACACAUUCGAUUCCUCACAAAGCCAAGCCCGCUGCAGUUGCCACAUCCCCGGACACACUCGGUUCCUCACAAAUCUAAGCCCGCUGCAGCUGCCACAUCCCUGGGCUUAUGGUGCAGCAGGUGCUUUUUUCAAGACAGGAAUCAAAGUGUUAGGAACAUGGAAGAAAGGUGACACCUGGAGACCAAAUGCAGGAUUGGGAGUACUGUAGAGGUCACAGGGAAGUCACAGAACAGUAAUAUGCUAGCAGGGGCAUGGGGCGUGAAGAACAGAAGACAGGAAGCGUUUCGGAGACUCCAAAGAAGAAAUCAGGGCCAACCACAGCUUCCCGGGUCAUUCACCAGGUGGCACCACUGCCGUCAUUUCAGCUUCUGGCCACUGGGAGGCGCUGCUCAAAAGGAUUUGCCCUGAGACUCCAAGAAGAAGCUGUGGGAAGGACAGCAGGGGCCCUGGGGUUUUAGCCUCUGGCCCAGGAGUUAUGUGUCCAUAACCAAAGGGAGCACAGUCUGCACCCAGCUCUCAUCCCAUCAGAGCUGCUGAGACUCCCGCAGGUUCUUCCAGAACUGGUUUAGCUUGCCUGCAGGAUCAGGAAAGUUUGAGAAAGGCAUCUGCAAAAUACUAAAGAGCAGAGCUUACCUCAUUGCCUGUCCCCACCCCAUCCCAGGUCACCACCUGGAUGACCCCAGCUCCCCGACCCAACAACAACCCCUCCCAAGUCCCUAACUCCCUCACUUGGACUUGAGACCCUUCACACCCCAGCAGCGCUCUGCCUCCAACUUGACAUCAUGCUUUCUGGAAACUUCCCCGUAUGUCCCACUUUCCCACACUUGGUGCGCUGGAGCACCUUCCGGCCUCCACAUGCUGUACGUUCCCCUGUGAGCACCGUCCUCUCAGCCUCUGGCCAACACAGUCCCACCCAUCUGUGGGUAACAAGGGGGUGUGGGUGUUCUUUACAGCCUUGCUAAACUGUCUGAAUCAAGGAUCACAAACUACAGCCUGCAGGCCAAACCCAGCCCACAGCCUGUGUUUGUAAAUAAAGCUUUGUUGGAACAAAGCCACACCCCUUAUUCUACAGAUGCUGUGGCUACUUUCGCACCACAACAGAGUACCAUGGUUCUGACAGAGACUGGGGGACCCAGUCUAAAUGACUUCUGACCUGGACCUUUACUGAAAAUCCUCCCAAUCAUUCUGUUGACAAGAAUGAUGUAUUACUUUUUGCAAUAAGAAACAAGUAACCUUUGC